CGACGUCUCGCAGCUCCUCAUUGCCCGCCUCCUCCUCCUCCGUGUCACCGCCGCCACCCGGCCUCCUCCUCUGCGCAGGCUCCGCCUCCACCUCGCCUCCUCCCGUGCUCCUCCUCGCCAUGCUCGUGCUCUCCUUUUCCCGCCGCCCCUCCCUCCUCUGAGACGGAGGCGGGCUGCGUGGUGAGCAGCGGCCCCUACAUCUGGUCGCCGGCGGCCGCCGGCGUGGCUGCGCCCGCGAGUGCAAACCCUAGCGCGCCGCCUCCAUUCCCGCGUUUCCCUUGCUCCUGCGCCCAAAUCCUCUAGCUGCACCCGCCCCUCCCUCCUCAACGCCGAGUGGUCUCCAUUCAGAUCAAUGCCGCUGGGGCAUCUUUCUUCCUCCACAACGAUGAGCACGAGAUGGAGCAGAGUCGUCGUCAUGUGGUUCUCCACUCUGGGGUCAAAGGGAAGAGUGCAGAUCAUCACCGUCUUUUUCUCUUCGGUGGUGCUCAGCUGGAGCAGCAUGAAAGCCCACCGCAGCUUUCUUCUGCCCCGCACUAGUGAAGAGCGAGGGAAUAGAGACUGGAAUAGAGGGAGCCACCGCCCAGCUGACCUAGCAUGGAACACAGAUCUACCUAUUUAUGCAAGCAAGAUGUUUGACAAAAAUCUGAAUAGGUUAUUCAGUCUCUUGAUCUCUGUAUUGAGCACAGAUGAACAUGUUCAUGGAUUCAGUCGCUUGCUAUUUUCCAUUUUCAGUUUAUUUUGGCUGAGCAACACAGGGAUUUGAGAUUAUAACGCAUAUCAGUUGAUGUCUGCUGAGAACUACAUGUUUGUAGUAUGCUCCAAAUCAGUGACGAUGGUCUAAACUGAAUCUAUAUAUUCUUGAACGAUGACAAGAUUGAAACAAAAAUUGUACAUGAUCAGCUUUGUUCAGUGGCGGAGAGGUAUCUGCUCUCUUCUUUUAGCAUCAUAGCAACAUCUGUGUUCUUUUCACAGUUUAUAUAGCACGCUUUUAUAGGAAGGGCGAGGGAGAGCAUAUCAUGACCCGCAAGGUCAUGAUUUUUGGUACUAUUGGAUAAUUUAAUAUUUCAUAUCCUGUUGUGCUUAUCGUGGAUGCUAUUUUUGAACAAUAACUCGGUGUGUUCUCCUCAUUUUGAAAUAUUAGUUAAUUGGAUGGUGAUACCAUACUUGUACAAUUUCUGGUAUCAUUUCUUUAAAAAACUUGUUAAACUGACUGUUGCCUCAUAAUCACUAAAACAUAAGAGUUUGAAAAGGUUCUUUUAAAGAACUCAGGGACGAGUUGAAAGAACCCAUUUGGACAAGUGCUUUUCACGGAAUUUUGUAGUAAAAUAUAUUAGUCCCGCAAUGAUAAUGGAUUUAUGGUGAGCUUAAAUCAUCCCUAGAAAUAUUACCUUAGAUAGCUGUACUUCAGUGUGGAAUACGAUUGCAAUGUAGUAAAAAGAUAGUCGUAAUGAGAAGAUAAAAAAACUGAAUAGCUCUGACAGACAUGUGAAUAUGCAAUCUCAUCCCAUCACCCCAAUUGAAAUUUCAAAAAAUCUCACAUCUACUUGCAUUGUUCAUAUACUUCUUAUUUACUGUGAGCCUUUGUUUCUAGAAGCAGGCCAAAUCCACCCCUUUCUCCUGGGUUAACUAUAUUCAUUCAUUCCAGGCUUGGAAAAUGCAUCAGAGAAAAUAAGAGGUUUUAAUGUCACUGUAGUUGUGCAAUAUUUUUGCAGAUAAAGCACUAAAAUCAAUGUAGCAUUAUCAAUUAGGUCUGGUUAUUACCUAUCGCAGUAGCUGGUAAGAAAUUAAGUACCACAGAGAGCAAGUAUUGUUUAGUCUGCAGAGCUCUUUAAAUCAAGGAGUUAUGUCAGAUGCGUUUUUUGACAGAUACACAUGAUGCCUGCUUUCCUUAUGAUAGGUUCUCACCUUAUUUUUAAUAGUUGAUGCCAACAUCUUAAAGUAUGUAAGAGUGUUUCUCCAUGGUAUUGUUGACUGGUUUUAUUUAAAUAAAUCAGCCAGCUAUGUUGACUUUUCCUGCUAAUUGGUGUGAUUUUGCAUGAAGAUGAUACAUUUAUUAUAAGCUUUGCUCUUGUUGUACUGGAGUUCUGCGUGUGGGACAAACAUGUAAGAUGAUCAGUUUGAAAAUGCAUAUACUUGGUUGAUUUUGAUUUUGAUUGAUUGCGUAGAAUUAUUAGGUCCGUGUUUAUUGAAAAACAUGUAUUGCAAUUUUUUGUUUUCAUCUUGUUCUCUUAUUACCGCCUGAUCUAAUACCUUUUUAGAACUUUCUCGGUAAAAUAUUGAUGCAUGUAAAGAAAUGAUAAAUGCUGCAAGAAUUGCCAUCAAGGCAAUAUUUUCUAAUUUUAUUAUUUGGUUGUGAUUUUGCCUCAUUACACUCCAGAAUGAGUACAUGGAUUUUUGUUGGACCUUAUCAGUGUGUAGUGCUUACAAUGCAGUAAGCAUUUCGUUUCUCAUCUAUUUGCAUCGUCAUAAGGAUUGUUGUACUGCUGUCGAUCAGAUAUGGGAUCGAUGGGAUCUUAGACGACUACAGGCAAUACCAGACCACCUCCUACAACUGGUUGUACAGCUAUGGCAGUUGCAGGUCUAGACUCUGAAUCUUCACAGAGAAAAUAAGAGUAUAUGAUGACAUACAAGCCUACAUAGCAAGAUAUAGGCGAUUGCAACAAGUCCAUUCACCUCUGGGAGCCAUCUUCGAACACUUGUGAAGAGUAUAAAAAACCUUUUGUUGGUCAUUCGGCAACAUUGAGGAUCUGCAGGCAUUUUACUGAAUGAUGCAUCAUAUAUCUACUCCUAUGUUCUCUAAAAACGUUGAUUGUCUCAAAUAUUAUGAUUAUAUUCUUGCACUGGAGUCCCACAGAAGCCGACAUUUUUGCCUCUUGUUCGAUGGAUGGAAAGAUAUGUAUUUGGGAUAUAAAGACAGGGAAGCAUCCCAUUAUUUAUGUGAAGGCCGAAAAUGCUGAUGUGAAUGUUAUCUCUUGAAAUCGAAAAUUGAUGAAAAAUCUGGGGUCCUCAUAAUGGAGAUCAUCUUUGCCUGAAGCCCACUCGACUACGUGAGACCUCUCGUGGAGAUUUUGGCCCUCCUCUCUGCAAUAAUUCCCUAGAGGCAAAGGGCUACUUUCCUCGGCAUUUCAUGCUCUAACCAAGUUUUUGAUUUAGCUGUGUGUAUUCUGCUUGAGAAAAUUUUAUUAUCAGACCAAACUGCUGAAUGCAUGCUUGUCCUGAAACCAAGCGGAAGGAUUUGUGAACUUAUCCAGGGUUAUAAUCACUGAUUUUUAGCGUACUUAUAAGGAGCCUAAUAUGUUCCUAAUCAUAUAAAGAUGCAUGCGACAACAGACGUCUUCUAUAAGAGGUGCCUAAAAUGUCGGUGUGAAGAAAACAAACAGGGUGAUAUGUGACACCAACAGUUGGACGAGUUUGCUUGUGCCACAGAACUGGACGAGAAGAGGUUGCUAGAUUCAACCUUGCGCAACCGAGGUUUGAGCACCGCCAAAUGCAUUCUAUUUGUUGGACCCGUCCUUCAUAAAACGAGCAUUAUGAUCAAAUCAUUGACUAGUGUUGACAGCUUUCAUUUUAUGGCAAGAGCAUUAUCCUGAUGCUAGGCCUACUUCUCUCAUGAUCCCAUUUGUGUACUAUGCAUCUUCCUGCGCAGCCCAAUUUGCUAGACCAUGGUACUCGAACAUGAUAAAUGGAUUUUCCACUGUCCUCUUUUCAUUUGCUAGCUUGAUUUUCUUUUCUUGGUGCAUUGGUCCACAAGCAGUCUGCAUGUUUCAUGAGAAUGAUGCUUAGUUUGCAAGUCAGCGACAGGCCACAUGCAUAACUACUAAAAGGUCGGAGCACAUCUUAGAUUUCAUCUUGGACUAAUGCACUUGUGAAAUAUUUGUUCCUGAUUCACUUGUGAAAUACUGCAUCUCCUAGAGUCUGACAACUAGGGUGGUGGCGAUCUCAACCUAUCAGAUUCGAUCUUUAUAAACAGAAGUUAACAUAUGGCCAAUGUAUAGAAAGUAGAUACUUCCAACAGCACACUGACCAUUUCGUUCCUUUUGUGACUAGCCUGUAUAUAUGAAGUAGGUUCCUGCUGCAGCAGUCCCCAUAUGCAGCUUGUGUCGAUGUUGUUUUUGCCUUUCCUUGCUCGAUUGUUUCUGUACUUCCUUGCAAUGACUUAGCCAUGUGUGUUCUUCUUACGGCAAACAAAAUAGUCCUUUGUAUUCUUCACUUGCUGCUUAAUUAUAAUAGAUUUUCAGUGAAAGUUGGAGAACACGCACCCCUAAAGUUAUUCCUGCAAACUUUUUUUUAUGCUCUGUUGCUACAGCAGAGUUAAUGAUUGAAUGCUCUGUGUAAUCUGUAUAGCUAUUAUCAUUGUAUUACACAACCUGGUUCUACUAUUUCUAUUUGCAUCCGUUCUUGCACUAAUUCCUUUUCGAUUUCAUUGGUAGGUGUCAUGCAUCGCAUAUUCCCAUCACGUGAAAUACCACUUUAUUUCCACAUCUAAUUCUGUCUGAAAUCUUUCAAAUUUCUGCUGCAACAGACAAGGGCAUAUUGCCCUUGAAGUAGAUAGGAACAAACAAGUUUGGAAUCUGACUUCCUGUACUUUCAAUUACAAGUUCUUCUCAUUGGUGAAAUACGAAGACAUACAUAUGGUCAGUUACCAAUAUUGGAAAGGGAGGAUGAUACAGGCAGAGCAGAAAUUUGGGGGUGCUAAGUAAAUUGCUAAUUAGUGGAGUGUUGGUACGACAGAGGUUUGGCCGAGCUGUAAGUGCAGCUGCCUAUGCAAUAUCUAUUUUCUCCUGUGUACAGUUUUCUGAUAUUUUGAGCGGAAGCAGACUGCUAAAAUAAUUAGUUUAUGGUAUGAAUUCGUGAAACCUUUCCCUUCAUAACGAGUGCUGGUUGUUGCUCAUAUAGUUUACACUCUCGUGUAUGGCUAUCUUUAAUUCAAAAUAAUGUUGAUCAAUGAUUUCUGACGUGUCUCUUAGAAAUUUCCCUGGUAACACACUAUAGUUUUAUUCUGUAGGUGAUAGCCUUUGUAAGCAGCUUUAAUUCUUAUCUUUGAGAGGUUUAGACGCCCUUCAAUAGUGGUUGAUGAUAGCUUUGUUUUGUUGAAAGGUCAUAUGUAAGCAGUCUUUUAAUUAAAUCCUCACCGGUUUAUUUUCAGUAAUCAAUGUAUAAAUGACCAUGUUUUAUGUUCAUGUUUGAAGAUUUUGAUUCCGGAGUAAAAUUAGGAACUGAGCUUGUACUGUAUUAUCCUUCAAUUUGAAUAUGCUAAACCAUCUUUAUUUCUGCCAGGGCUGCACAAAAUUAGCUCCCAGUACUGUAUAGACCGGCAGCCGGCAUCCGUGACGACAACUGCGAUAUGCAUAACUCCGGCGGCCGCGUUGCCUUCUACAUGAGACAACUACUCUAAAAAUUAUCUCUCUUCACAUCAAUUGUGUAGAAAACAUAUGAAUAUUUGUGCAUGAUGCGUCCUUGGAGAAGAUAGCUGCGGUUAUUUUAGUGUAUGCGUAGUUAUGUUAAUGGCAGUAAUUAGUAUAACUUCAAUCCUUAAUAGAAUGGCCACUAUUUUCUUGGUCGAUGCCAUGCAACUUCAUUAUUCAAUACAGAUGGUAUGUCAUGUCAUGAACUGUUGAAUUCCCAGUAGUUGAAUAGUUUGAAUAUUUUUGUAAACUUUAAAGUUAUUGGUAUUCACACUUAAAUAAAUGUCCACAUGUUGUCUGUAAGAAGAUCACUCUAUUUUUCUGUUUAUAACGAGAUCUAACAAAUAAAGAUGUAGUUGAAUAAUUAUAAGAACGUGAAUAGAUCCAACUCUCAAAAGCUUACAUAUGAGAAGUACACUAGGUUUAUGAUUCAAUG